rnacentral:ncRNA from 1 species
AUCUGAGUUCUAAGAUAAUCUGAAGGAAGCUGGAUGUGGGAAAUACACUAACUAACGGCAAAAUCUCUGAUCUAACUAACAGAAAUCUCAUAUGAGAUUAUACAUGAGGGUAAGGCUGCACUACUAGUCAAAACCAAAUAACUACACGGAAUCAUACAUGAUAAAUGAGGCAUAUGUGAGAGGGCGGCAAUCAGU